GGGCGAGUGGUGGGGCUGCGCAUGCUCAUUUACAGAAGCGCCGCUUGGCCGUUGGGCCGCCCACCCGUCGCUCUGACGUGCGGGCGCCGCGCAAGGUGGUAGCUGGGUCUGGCGCCGGCGCUGGGUAAGCGGAGCGGCUGCGGGCCUUCCCUCGGCGUCCCGGUGUCCGGCUUCCCGCAGCGCGUCCUGGUAGCGUCCGUGGGCGCACAGGCCUCGAAGAACCUCCUCGAGGCGGGCACCCGAGGUGGCGGCUGAGGCAGAUAAUGGCGCCUGGGCUGCGGUGGCGCUGGCCCUGUCUCCUUUCUCCAGGGCCAGGAUAUACUUAUUUUUCUGUAAACCAACUCUUCCUUAGCGCCGAAGAGGCGUCAAAACGCUGGCGCGUCUCCAGAGCCCCGGGAGGAAGGCUGUAACGGCAGCCCCAUCGUAGGCAGGGACAUUCGCAUCCCGAGCCCUGGACCGCUGAAAACCAGUCCAGAAUUUGGAAGCUGGGAGGAACCUUAGCGCGUCCAUUCUGGGCGUUUCUUCGCCGGCGUUUUCCCGCUGAGGUUAUGUAAACAUCAAGAGGAACGUGGAAGUGUAAAGGAAAAAAAGGACAGCUAACCACAGGGCAGACCGUGGGCAAGAUACCCGCGUGUUUUCCGCUCUCAUAGGUCAGAAAUUUGGAGGAAGGUAGAAGUUACUGUCUUGAACCAUAAGAUGUCUGUUUGAAGUCUUCAGGCUCCUCAAGGACACACAGGAGGGGGAAGCCAGCCUCUGAGGUAAGGCUUCCCCUGGAAGGCCCUGGGCUGGGGCUCUCUUCUGUCGGAGCUCAGCUCUUGACCCCUAGGGGACCUGGAGGACUGAAUGAUGUUGCUCCUCAAGGAGGAAGCUGCCAUCUUGUCUCAGGAGGGAGAGCAGGUGAAGUCCCUAUGGAAGGAAGCAUCUAGCCCCAUUCCUGCUGAGCAAGAGGUGGCAGGGACCCCAGGCUGGGAGGUAAGGACAGCCUGGGGCUUCAACUGGAACAUCUCCAGCAUGAGUCCCAACUGAGCAGGCAGAGAGGCACUGCUGGAGGCUGGCUCAAUCCCAAGAUGAGCAGGCCAAGCUGCCAUUUUAGGGGAGCGAGGACAUCUGUGCGGAGCUGAGAGGCAGCAGCCAUGUGUGAACAGACUGGGUCUCAUCCUGGCCUCCCCUGACUUCAUGUGGACAGAGCCUGUUUCCCUGUUGGUGCAGCAUGGAACCUGAUCUCAUUGCUCGGUCCCUCUUCUUCCUGUCAGGAAAAUAAACAGGUUCCAAAGGAAGUUGCUGCGUCUCCAGCUGGGCUCAUGCACGGCCCUGCCUGACCCAGCCACCGGGAGGAUGGCCCUAAGGUCGGAGCCCAGACAAGCGUCCUCCUCAAGCUCCAGCCUGGCCCGGAGUGGAAACUUGUCACUGGUCAGACAUCUGGACAGCAGCAUCCUUGAGGACCUGGAGAGGUGGCCAGUCCUGUGGUGAGGUGAUGGAGGCUGGGGGUGAUGGCUCAGUCCUGGGCUUUCAUGGGUCCUUCCCAGGGAACAUUCUGGCAGUUGCCGACUGAACCCCUGGGAAGUAACCCCGGCACAAAGCUCCCUGACUCCCUAUGAUUCGUCUUUUAUUUUGGGGUGUCGUAUACGAAGGGAGGUCACUGCUGUGAUGGUGCUGGUGGGACUGCUGCCCCUGAUGUAGGGUAGACUUGAGUCGGGCCCGAACUGUGGGCCUCUCAAGGCUGAGUACUGCCCUCUCCACCAUACCCAGGGCUGACCGACACCUCUAGUCAGCCCAUUCUGGCCCCUUCCCUAGAUGCUGGGACAAUGUACAGUUCAUGUCACCAAUCUGGGCAGUCAGAGAUGGAUCAGUGGAGGACAUGGGAUUAGGGGCAAGGCCAACUGACACAUGCUCAAUCUCCACACAGCCCUGUCUCAAACACGGCCAGGCCAGGCACUGGGGUAAGCAGGAAGGAGGCAGGGGUUGGGGCUGCUCUUGGGAGGCCGUGAGGCCCAUCACAAGGCGUGGCAGGUGACCCAGGUUGAAACUACCACAUUGCUUUAUUGCACAUCAGGGCUCCUGGCUAGGGAGCAGGCUGAGGACUAGGUACCCUAUUCUAGCGGGGCACAGCACAAAGCUCAUAAGGGGAAGGG